ACGCUCGACACCUACGGGAGGCAGCAGUGGGGAAUAUUGCACAAUGGGGGAAACCCUGAUGCAGCAACGCCGCGUGAAGGAAGAAGGUUUUCGGAUCGUAAACUUCUAUCAAUAGGGAAGAAAGAAAUGACGGUACCUAAAUAAGAAGCCCCGGCUAACUACGUGCAAGCAGCCGCGGUAAUCUGAGCGGGCUGGCAAGGC
rnacentral:rRNA from 1 species